CUAUGGGACGCUGCAGUGGGGAAUUUUGGACAAUGGGGGCAACCCUGAUCCAGCCAUUCCGCGUGAGUGAAGAAGGCCUUCGGGUUGUAAAGCUCUUUCGGCAGGAACGAAACGGCGGGCUCUAACAUAGCCUGUCAAUGACGGUACCUGAAGAAGAAGCACCGGCUAACUACGUGCCAGCAGCCGCGGUAAUACGUAGGGUGCGAGCGUUAAUCGGAAUUACUGGGCGUAAAGCGUGCGCAGGCGGUUAUGUAAGACAGAUGUGAAAUCCCCGGGCUUAACCUGGGAACUGCGUUUGUGACUGCAUAACUCGAGUGUGGCAGAGGGGGGUGGAAUUCCACGUGUAGCAGUGAAAUGCGUAGAGAUGUGGAGGAACACCGAUGGCGAAGGCAGCCCCCUGGGUUAACACUGACGCUCAUGCACGAAAGCGUGGGGAGCAAACAGGAUUAGAUACCCGCGUAGUC
rnacentral:rRNA from 1 species